rnacentral:rRNA from 1 species
UGCAGUCGAGCGGGCGUAGCAGUACGUCAGCGGCAGACGGGUGAGUAACGCGUGGGAACGUACCUUUUGGUUCGGAACAACACAGGGAAACUUGUGCUAAUACCGGAUAAGCCCUUACGGGGAAAGAUUUAUCGCCGAAAGAUCGGCCCGCGUCUGAUUAGCUAGUUGGUGAGGUAACGGCUCACCAAGGCGACGAUCAGUAGCUGGUCUGAGAGGAUGAUCAGCCACAUUGGGACUGAGACACGGCCCAAACUCCUACGGGAGGCAGCAGUGGGGAAUAUUGGACAAUGGGCGCAAGCCUGAUCCAGCCAUGCCGCGUGAGUGAUGAAGGCCCUAGGGUUGUAAAGCUCUUUUGUGCGGGAAGAUAAUGACGGUACCGCAAGAAUAAGCCCCGGCUAACUUCGUGCCAGCAGCCGCGGUAAUACGAAGGGGGCUAGCGUUGCUCGGAAUCACUGGGCGUAAAGGGUGCGUAGGCGGGUCUUUAAGUCAGGGGUGAAAUCCUGGAGCUCAACUCCAGAACUGCCUUUGAUACUGAAGAUCUUGAGUUCGGGAGAGGUGAGUGGAACUGCGAGUGUAGAGGUGAAAUUCGUAGAUAUUCGCAAGAACACCAGUGGCGAAGGCGGCUCACUGGCCCGAUACUGACGCUGAGG